rnacentral:scRNA from 1 species
CCGUCGCCCUCCUUGGCGCGAACGGCGUUCAU